ensembl:snoRNA SNORD22 Small nucleolar RNA SNORD22
UCUCAGUGAUGACCUCUGCAUGUGUCUUACGCCCUGUGCCAACAACAGAACCUGUGAAGGUGAACCCACUGUUGUUGCCAGGGCAACAAGGGGAUGGCUUGUUGGGGUUACCAACUGUCUGAUGGGAC